rnacentral:piRNA from 1 species
UCUUGGGGGUAGUGGCUG